GCCUGGCUGGCUCAGUUGGUAGAGCUUGUGACUUUCAAUCUCAGGGUCAUGAGUUCAAGCCUCAUGUUGAGCA
rfam:Canis lupus familiaris chromosome 9, whole genome shotgun sequence.